UAGGGAAUCUUCCGCAAUGGACGAAAGUCUGACGGAGCAACGCCGCGUGAGCGAAGAAGGCCUUCGGGUCGUAAAGCUCUGUUGUUAGGGAAGAACAAGUAUCGGAGUAACUGCCGGUACCUUGACGGUACCUAACCAGAAAGCCACGGCUAACUACGUGCCAGCAGCCGCGGUAAUACGUAGGUGGCAAGCGUUAUCCGGAAUUAUUGGGCGUAAAGCGCGCGCAGGCGGUCCUUUAAGUCUGAUGUGAAAGCCCACGGCUCAACCGUGGAGGGUCAUUGGAAACUGGGGGACUUGAGUGCAGAAGAGGAGAGCGGAAUUCCACGUGUAGCGGUGAAAUGCGUAGAGAUGUGGAGGAACACCAGUGGCGAAGGCGGCUCUCUGGUCUGUAACUGACGCUGAGGCGCGAAAGCGUGGGGAGCGAACAGG
rnacentral:rRNA from 1 species